GUGUGUAUGCAUGUUCGUGUGUGUGUUUGUGUGUGUAUCCGUGUUUGUGUGUGUGUUUGUGUGUGUGCAGGCCAAGGACUACCUCUGCUGUCAUCCUUGGGAAUCCUGUCACCUUCACUGAGAGAACAUUUCUCCUUGGCCUGGAGACCACCUAUUAGGCUAGACUGUCUACCCAGAGACACCAGGGAUCCUCCUGACUGGACCUUCCCUGCACCACCAUGGCCAGGGCAUAUUUACGCGGCUUCUGAGCACAGGCUAUCCCUUCAAUGCCCAUGCAUUACCUUUUUCCCUUCAGUUGAUGUCCUUUGUGGGUGAGGAUUGAAUCCCAGCCCUGAUGGGGUCUUAUAGAGUCUGAGCCCCACCAGUCCUGGGGACUGCAGGGGAAAGCUUUCUGAGGGCAGCCUUGUUGCCUUUCUAGAAAUGAGGAGGUCUGGAUGACCCCCAGGAGGAGUCUCAGAAAGAGAAAAGAGAAGAGCUGGAGAAUAUACAGGCUGCAGCUUUAUCAGAGCCUGCUAGCAGGGAAGCAGCCUGCCUGCUGCGAUUUUACUAACAGAUUCCGGGCUUCACUCACUUCCUGAAUGGGAGACCAAGAAUCUGCAGUGACCUAGGAUUCCAGGGGGUUCUUAAACACAGCUGGACCACCAAGGACCUGGGCUCAGCUUCAGCCCACUCGCCAACACUGAGGACACUGGAUGAGAACAUCAAGGUUCGAGAAGGGCAAACAUUGUCCCAAAGUAGGAUGCAGCCAUAAUCCAGAGCCUGAGUCUGCCCACAAGAGUUUCCUGUGUGUCAUUCCCCGAGGUCUUUCCCCUGAAACUCUUCUUGGGCUCUUCCCUUCCCCAAGCCUGACUUCACAAGCUUUCCUCCCUCUGCUCUGCUUGCUUUGCCAGAAGUUUCUUUCUGACCUUGGAGCGCUCACUAACACUUCCUCAGGCUUGAUGUCCAGGAUGGAAAUGCCUCGAUGGGCUAGCCUAUCACGGUUCCUGGUGCUCAAGGUAAAACAGCUUAUGGCCUUUGUCCUGUGGACUUAACACCGGGCUGCCCUGCCCUACCAUGGCCCAUGGUUGGAAGUGGAGCAGUUGAAGCAAAGGAAAACGGCAGGAUUCUGAGGCCAGACCCUCUCCUCUCCCCUUCCAAAGUCAUCCUGGAGUUAGGGAAAGCUGGGGCCAGCCUGGAGCGCUCUGAGAUCCAAUGGCCCCUU